rnacentral:lncRNA from 1 species
AUUAACAGAAUAGUACUGAUAAAAAUCAGUCCCCGGCAACGGCGCCAAAAACUUGUUCGCUAAUUUCUUUACACGCCGCAAGUGUACGGGUGCAAUUGAGUAUAGCAGUGACAAGGUCGAAUCCACAGGGACUAAUUGUUAUCAAUGCCUAAUCGUAAUCACUUUACUCUAUCUGGAAAACCGAAUUGUAAAGGUUUGAUUUUUGAAAACAAAUUUAAAUUGAAAUAAAGGAAUACUGAAAAGAAAUCAAGCUGUAAGAAUUACGUAGUAACAGAAGAAAGAAAGUUUCCCAAGG